rnacentral:rRNA from 1 species
GACGAACGCUGGCGGCAUGCCUAAUACAUGCAAGUCGAACGAUGAUAUCACUGCUUGCAGUGAUUGAUUAGUGGCGAACGGGUGAGUAACACGUGAGGAACUUGCCCAUGAGCGGGGGACAACAUUCGGAAACGGAUGCUAAUACCCCAUAGGUGGAUUGGUCGCAUGACGAAUUCAUUAAAGGUGGCUUUGCUACCACUCAUGGAUAGCCUCGCGGCGUAUUAGCUAGUUGGUAAGGUAAUGGCUUACCAAGGCAUUGAUACGUAGCCGACUUGAGAGGGUGAUCGGCCACACUGGGACUGAGACACGGCCCAGACUCCUACGGGAGGCAGCAGUAGGGAAUCUUCCACAAUGGGUGCAAACCUGAUGGAGCAAUGCCGCGUGAGUGAAGAAGGUCUUCGGAUCGUAAAGCUCUGUUGUUAGAGAAGAACACGUGCUAGGUAACUACUAGCGCCUUGACGGUAUCUAACCAGAAAGUCACGGCUAACUACGUG